AGUGAACGCUGGCGGUAGGCCUAACACAUGCAAGUCGAACGGCAGCACAGUAAGAGCUUGCUCUUACGGGUGGCGAGUGGCGGACGGGUGAGGAAUACAUCGGAAUCUACUUUUUCGUGGGGGAUAACGUAGGGAAACUUAUGCUAAUACCGCAUACGACCUACGGGUGAAAGCAGGGGAUCUUCGGACCUUGCGCGAUUGAAUGAGCCGAUGUCGGAUUAGCUAGUUGGCGGGGUAAAGGCCCACCAAGGCGACGAUCCGUAGCUGGUCUGAGAGGAUGAUCAGCCACACGGGAACUGAGAAACGGUCCAGACUCCUACAGGAGGCAGCAGUGGGGAAUAUUGGACAAUGGGCGCAAGCCUGAUCCAGCCAUACCGCGUGGGUGAAGAAGGCCUUCGGGUUGUAAAGCCCUUUUGUUGGGAAAGAAAAGCAGCAGGUUAAUACCCCGCUGUUCUGACGGUACCCAAAGAAUAAGCACCGGCUAACUUCGUG
rnacentral:rRNA from 1 species